rnacentral:rRNA from 1 species
UAGGGAAUCUUCCACAAUGGACGGAAAGUCUGAUGGAGCAACGCCGCGUGAGUGAAGAAGGUUUUCGGAUCGUAAAGCUCUGUUGUUGGUGAAGAAGGAUAGAGGCAGUAACUGGUCUUUAUUUGACGGUAAUCAACCAGAAAGUCACGGCUAACUACGUGCCAC